UACGGGGGGGGUAAGCGUUGUUCGGAAUUACUGGGCGUAAAGGGCUCGUAGGCGGCAAACUAAGUCAGACGUGAAAUCCCUCAGCUUAACUGGGGAACUGCGUCUGAUACUGGAUGGCUUGGAUUCGGGAGAGGAAUGCGGAAUUCCAGGUGUAGCGGUGAAAUGCGUAGAUAUCUGGAGGAACACCGGUGGCGAAGGCGGCAUUCUGGACCGAUAUUGACGCUGAGGAGCGAAAGCCAGGGGAGCAAACGGG
rnacentral:rRNA from 1 species